CAUCAACACGAAUUCUUAAUUCGCUUAGACAUAAAGGCGACCUAGUCGCUUCGGUAAACCAACCCACCUUAACUCGCGCUCCGAUUGCUUGUCGACACUUGCAAUCGGCCUCCCGCGGCAACCGUUGCCCGGUUUGGCCCGAACUCUUGCGCGACUUAGCAAACGACCUCCGAACUGCGAUCCGUCUUCUCCGGAGUUUAUUCCUUGACUCCAAGGUGCUCCGGUUCCGAUCUCAUGAUUUUUAGACCUUUAUUCCGCGUGCUGCGGCUAUCUGUACCAAAAUCGACCGUUUCGUCAAUAACUUCGCGUACGCCCAUCGGAUUGCCGAACCGAGCGUACCAAUGCGUUCGUUAGGUCCCCAAUUAGGUUUCUACAAGGUCAAUUUGCCUUAGAAACAACCGGUGACAAAAGCCCCAAUUUUUGGUGCCCUAACAACACCAAGAUCAAAUCUCUUGGGAUUGAUCUCAUAGCUAAGCAUAAUCGAGCUUAGAAUCACCCAAGAAGNUAUCCUUUACACAACCUAAGUUAUUACUUUAGGUUUAUUGCUUUCACAUUCUUAACCUAGGUUUACUACACUAGGAUCAUUAUUCCUUUCCAACCUAGGUUCACUUGACUCUAGGUUAAGCAGCUUUCCUUUCACAACCUAUGUUCUUUACAUUAGGUUUAACAUCACUCUUAGUUAACCUAUGUUCUUUACAUUAGGUUUUAUGCCACUCGAUCUAUAGGUUGAUUCAUGUCCACCUAUAUAUAUUCCUUAUUUAGCAUUCUCAACAUGUACUUGCACGUACUAUUCUUAUAUCAUGCUUAUCACUUAUACUUUAGCAUAGCAUCAUUUACUUAAUCAUUCUAGGGUUAUCAACCUAGUUUCCAUGCACAUUUAAUCUCACGAUGUCAACAUGCAUUCUAUCCAUCAUGCUCACAUGCAUUCAUGUAAUUAUGUAGCAUUAUAUAACUUGUUCAUUAUGCAUUCUAUAUCUCAUCUUAACUUAUGUCAUCAAUAUGCAUUUCAUUCUAUGCAUUAUGCUUACAUGCACCCUUCUAGUUUACAUGCAUAUAUAUAUAUAUAAUCUUUUAUAUGCAUCUACUUUAGCAUUUACAUCAUAUCAUGCAUUACUAGCAUUACUUUAUCAUCAUGCAUCACUAGCAUUAUGCAACUUGCUCACUAUGCAUUUCCACUUGGCAUUUACAUUAACAUGCAUUGUUUAACACUUAUAUGCAUCAACACGAAUUCUUAAUUCGCUUAGACAUAAAGGCGACCUAGUCGCUUCGGUAAACCAACCCACCUUAACACGCGCUCCGAUUGCUUGUAGUCACUUGCAAUCGGCCUCCCGCGGCAACCGUUGCCCGGUUUGGCCCGAACUCUUGCGCGACUUCCAAACGACCUCCGAACCGCGAUCCGUCUUUUCCGGAGUUUAUUCCUUGACUCCAAGGUGCUCCAGUUCCGAUCUCAUGAUUUUUAGACCUUUAUUCCGCAUGCUGCGGC
rnacentral:lncRNA from 1 species